UAUUAUAUAUAAUAUUAUAAGGGUUUAUCUCUAAUAUUUAAAUUAAUAAAGUGACUUUAUAUAAUAAAUAAUACUGUAGGUCUUAAAAUUAAUAUUGAAAUAAGUGUGUUAAAUGUGUAAAAUUAAUAUUGUUAUAGGGUCUUAACCUUAAUAUUUAAAUGAGUCAAUCACAUUUAUUUUUUGUGCUUUAUUUUGUAUUUUUUUUGUUCUUUAAUUCAUCCAGUAUCAGAUUAUUUGCUCAUCACUGAACUGGACUAUCUCCUCGUGAAUCUGAGGAGAAACUGCAUGACAGGAAGUGUUCACUAGAAGUCGAUUUGUGACUCGUCUGAAGAAGAUUCACCUGCAGAAUAAUCACCACAAAGUCUCUUAAACAUCUGGAACAUCUGCUGGCUCAGGUAGAAACUGGUUCUGGUCCGGUUCUGUGACACAUGAGUCGACACGCAGCCGGAAAGAAAAACGUCUGGAUGUGCUGAUAAUUCCUCCUGUUGGUGCUUUGUCUGUGACCCUGAACACAGCGGAUGUAAUAACGGUGUCAUCUUUAAUCAGAGUUUACCUCUGGGAGGACAAACCAUCUAUGAUUGCUGGAUCAUCGUCAUGGCAACCAAACAAAAACUAGCUAAGAAAACCUGCACUGCCAUAGUUUGAUCUGCUCCUGUUUGAUCCGCUUCUCCUUUUUGUCAGUCAAAUUAUCCAUUUUUUGUUCAACUUAGUUCAGUCAGAUGGGAGAUAUGAAACACAUCAGCUGACGUGCACAUGAGGAUUUUUCCCAGGAAACUCCUGCUUGAUGCUGAGAACAGCAUUUUAAUGAACUGUCGUACAAGAACAUCAUUACAAAUGGUCGAUUAGAAAAGUCAAAGGGGUUUAAUGUGUGUUUGCUUUACUGCACAGGACAAUCUAAAAUGAGAAGCAGCUUCAAACUGGGAAUGAAAGCGACUCUGUUGACUACAAUCUAAUAAAUAUCAUACUUUCUGUAGCAAGACAUGUUGGAGAUCUUACAAGGAAUUAUGCUUUUAACCGUGGAAACUGGGAGGAUCAGCCAGUUUCAGCGUCCAGCUCAGUGAUGACUGUUCUAAUUAUCACCAGAUAAAUCUUAAUGCAGAGUCAUGAAGGCCUUAAUAUGUCAACUUAAUCCAACAGUGACAGAAAAGUUUGCAUUAAAAAACAUCUUUGCAACAGGAAAUAUGAUUUAUUCCUGCAAAAAAAACAGUUUUAUGUUGAAAUAUUAAUCAGUUAACGAUUUGUCAGCUUGUCGUCGAUUCAAAUUCAAAGAUAUUUGUACUCAGUGAUGCUUUCAGUAACUUUACCACAUACUGGGGAUGACAAUAUUGUCAUGAAAACCAUGAAUUUACUUUAUUUUUUGUCUAUUUUUAUCUGAGUGCAGCCUAUAACUCAACGAAACAGCAGAACAGACAGUAUCCACACUAGUAUAUAGGACAGUAUCAUCAGAAUAAAAAUGUAUUUAAUUAGAUACAAAUGAAAGUAACAGUAAUAAAUGCUAAUACAGGCAGACAUGGUGUUAAAUUUGUAACUUUGCUGCAGACAAUGGACUGUAUUUAAUGCCACCAACAGGGUUCUUGAAGAACAGUUUUGAAACUCUGUCCAUCUCCAUCCUGGCAGUAUCUGACUCCUCCAAACUCCCAGCUAAUCCAAAAAUGCCUUUCAGUCUAUGGAGUCUGAAUACAGUAAGAAAAAAAAGUUUGCAUUAAAAGGCAUCUUUGCAGCAGGAAACAUGAUUUAUUCCUGCAAAAAGGAGCCAGUUUUAUUUUGAAAUAUUAGUUAACAGUUUAGACUUGUUCAGACUAUUUAAAUGUCAGCUUGUCAUCAAUUCAAAUUCAACAACAUUUGUGCUCAGUGAUGCUUUCAGUCACUUUACCAAUUACUGGAGAUGACAACAAUGUCAUGAAAACUGAGUUUACUUUAUUUUUAUCUAUUUAUUUUAUCUGAAUGCAGUCUGUAACUCAACAAAACAGCAGAACAUACAGUAUCCACACUAACGUGCAGAACAGUAUCAUCAGCAUAAAAUGUACUCAAUUCAUUGUCUUAAAUUAACAAACUGUAAUGAUGGAAACUGCUGAUUAAUCUGUUGAACAGUCAGUUUCCUGUGAACAUUCAAGAUGGUGUUUGUAGAUAAAACUCGACAGAAAUGUGAUGAUUUUCAGUUUUUCUUUCACUUUAUUUUGUGCUUCAGUUUCCUCAUAGAUAUGUUAUUACCGCCUGUAACGAUCUAACUGUAUUUAUGUUGAACAUGUAUGUGAAAAUGAGUCUUUAAUUGAAUGUCGAUGCCAAUAGGAAGCCAGACAGCGGUCAGACAGUUCAGAGUGGACUGUGUGUUUGCUUCAUAUCCAUUUCAUUAUUACAGCCACUAAUAGAAAGGAGCUUAAUGGAGAGAGGAGUCAGUCGAUACAAAUUGACUUAUCAGGCCCACAGAGGGAGGGAGACAUGGAAGCUUCUUUUAUCUCUGAAGUUGAUUUCAUUACUGUCCAUUGGCAGGACAUAUGAAAAGCAGCUGUGAGUGUAUCACCGUUACAGCCUGGUGGAGGAGGUCAACUCUAAACCCCGUAGUUGUGUGUUGUUACUCUGUGUUUGUCCUACUCACUCCUGGAUCCAGAUAUCGACGUUUUCUGGGCAAAGUGCCGUGAAAUGUCUCGUACCACCACCAGCCUCAGAUUUCCACAAUAAAACAGGCAGAUCAAGAUAAGAUAAGAUAAGCUUUUCCAUAUCCAACCAUGUCCUGUGCAACUUCAGUGUACUCUUAACCCUCGUGUUGUCCUGCGGGUCAAAAUUGACCUGGUUUAAAGUUUGAAAAUAUGGGAAAAAAAUAUUUUUUCACAGUGAAACUUCUGAUGUCCACAUUUUCAACAUUUUUGGGAAAUCUUUGAACAUUUUUUGGUGGAAAAAAAGAAAUGUUAAAAAUGUUUCUUAAGAACAUUCACAAAAGAUCCACCAAAAUCCAGGGAAUUUCACUGGAUUUUGGUAGAUUUUUUUGUGAAUGUUCUUAUAGAAAAUAUUACAAAUUUUACUGAUAUACAUGUAAUCACUUUAGAUAUUUUUAGGAUUUUUUUGAAGAUUUUUACUCAUUUUUUGAAAAAUAUUUACAAGAAUUUUCUAGCCAAAUUUGGAGGAUUUUUAAAAAAAAAAAAAAAAAUCUUUUAAGGAAUUUUCUUUCUGAAGGUUUUGCAAAUUUUCAGAAAUUUGGGGAAUUGUUUUGCUGAAUUUUUGGAUUUUUUUCAGACAAGGAAACAGUAUUUUUUGGUGCCCCUAAAUGAGGACAACAGGAGGGUUAAUCUGAAAGAGGCUCGGUUAGGGUGGAUAUUAUCAAACGUGAGCCGGUGUGUGGUUCUGGAGCAGAAAAUUAAAUAAGUCGCAAUCUACAUGCUUAUCAGAAUUGUUCAAAAAGUCAUAAAAUUGGGCCGAUAAAAAUGAAAAACCAUCCUACAUUUCAUAAAUCUGGCUGCUGUCCCUGUUAAAGUGGUCUCCAGAGUGAUCCUCUGCUCCCAAUGCUCCUGCAACACAUGAAGCUUCCUGGAUGUCCUGCUCUACAAACCUGUCAAGCAUCGUUCAUGAUGAGCUCAGUCUCCUGAAACGACCCUUCAUCGACUGGAAUUUCAUUUUGGGGAAGAAGAAGUUCGAGACGGUAGUGGUGGAGAGCGCUGAUCAUGUUGGUGCAUCGGAGAACCGUCUAGUUCUGGUUCUUCAGGAUGUUACAGCAGAACUCUGUCUGUCCAACAAAUUAAAGCCCAACCAGAUGAAUGUUGCAGAAAACAGUGAGCAUCGUUCUGCUCCUCCUCUGUUCAGCUGCUGUUUCAGAACCUCCUCUGAUCCUCCACAUGAAGGUUGGAGAUGUUUCCUCUCUGAUAGUUUGGACUCAUUGGAGAAAUUGAAAAUGUGUUCACAGAAACCUGAUGAACACACCUGAAGGUGUUGAUGAAGAUCGUUACUACUCCGUAUACAUAAUCCCAGGACUUUUUCAUCAGCGCUCGCAUUUCUUGUCACACAUCUGUACAUCUGCUUCAGCUCGGAUUUGUAGAUGUUCGGUAGUUUCACUGUCACAAAGCCCCAGAGUCUCAUGUGAGGAGGAUGGAGUAGUAUUACUGUCAUUAGUCCGUCACACGACUUUAAACCAGGAAGUUCACCAGCUCAGUCCGAGAUCGGGAUCCUGGUCCAUCUCAGGAAAUUUAAGUAAUCUGUCUGAUGUUUUAUGUACAGCUGUUGUCAUGCACAAACACAAUAAUGUACCGCUGGGCUGAAUGGUGUCGCCUCAGUUGAACUCAUUUUUUUAUAUUACAUCAAUAAACUUCAGACAAGUCUCUGUCACAGUGCUCCUUCACUAGCUAAACUCCCACAAUCCUCUCUGCUUGUUAACAUGAACUACCCGUCGUCCGAAAUUACGCGCAAACAAAAGAAGAAAAACAAGAUACAAAAUCACAAAAACAAGACACAGUAUGACAAAAAAAUAGCUGUAAAAUGACAAGAACAAGACACAAAAGGACAAAACUGAGAAACGAGACACAAAAUUAGAAAAACAAGAUACAAAAUUUGAAAAAUGAGAUGACCGAGAAAUAAAAUGGCCACAGCAAGGGUCAUUAACCUCCACGAGUCUUUGUCAUAGUGCCGGUUGCUAGCUAAACUCCCACAAUGCUCUCUGCUUGCCAGCAUGAACUGCCUGUCGUCCAAAAUGAUGUACAAAACAACAAAAACAAGACACAAAGUGACAAAAAUUAGAUAUAAACUAACAAGAACAAAACACAAACAGAUAAAAGUUUGAUAAAUGAGACACAAAAUUUGAAAAAUUAGUUGUCCGAGAAAUAAAACAGCCAAACAUUUACACUCAUUAACCUUCACAUGAGUCUUUGUCAUGGUGGCCGUUGCUGCUAAACUCCCACAAUGCUCUCUGCUUUAACAUGAACUGGAGUCUGAGUGACGCUAAACAUAUUGUUCUGACUGGUAAUUCUACACAUGCGGUUCUCGUGGUCGGGUGAAAUCCAAUAAUUCCUGCCCCUCGUCUCCGAGUCUGGAGACUGGAUGCUCCAAAUUUUCCAGAUUGGUUGUGUUUUUUCCCCUCCCCUGCUGUUUGAUCAGGUUUGGGAAAAUCACACAGCUUGGGUUAAAAAUACACGUUUGAAGCUUCGCGUCUAUUUUCUGGGUUGCCAUGGUGACGAGUCCCGCCCCAUGUGAUAUGGGAUGGCAGAAAAGCAGUGAAAGUAAAUGGCAAAGAUAUGUCGAUUGGAAACUUGUAAUCAAACAAAUCAGCAGAAAAACAAAGAGCGAGAAAUAUGUGGUUUCACCUCAUUAAUUAUCCUCAGAUUGUCUGAAUAUUCCAGCAGUAUGAAGCACGGCUGCAUUUUUACAUGUCGUUAUAUAUUCGGUGGCCGAUCUGUCGCAUCUCAUCGGCUGUGACUGAUCGGAUCGAUGGAUGUUGACUUGUGUUGAAUGUGAGGUUUCCAGCUGUGGAUCAUUGAAUCCUCCCGAUCGGCGAGGCGUUGCUGUGGCGUCACUGCCAGUUUUCACUGUUUCAUGGAGGCGCUCCAGUGUUGGUCUGCGGAUGACAUCAUCACUCCGGUCCGUCUGUGUGCAGCUCUUCACGAGGAGGGAGUGGCUCAGAUCCUCCGUUUACACAGAAACAAGAACGAUUCUCCAUCUCCUGCAAAUGAACCCUUUAACGGGAUGCCAUGUGUGAUUUCUGUGCUGAACCAGAUGCAAAAUAAAGAUGUUUCUUUAGGUUUUUAAGUCUAAAAACGGUCUUUUCCUGCAUGCUGGUUCUUAUUGCGCUUUAAGCUGGAGGAGCAGAAAUCUCAAAGCACAGUGUGUGUUUUUGGUGCUUGUGUGUUUGCAUUUAACAGCUUGUGUAGUCUAUAAAUGUUCACAUUCUUUAGCACUCAUUUCACGUCAAUGCGAGUUCGUCUUUUGAUACUCACCUUUAAAAAGCGUCCUGCUGCAGCCUUUAGAGACACUCAGAAGUUUGAGGGUUUAUAUAAUAGGAAUCCAACAACUCACUGCGAUCAGAAUUCAAGAGCUCUAAGAAGCUAUCUAAUGCUUCCUGAGUUUUUGUUUUAUCUUCAUCUAUAUGGGAAAUCCAGGAUGCUGAUGCUUAUUUUUAAGUUUUCAGUUCAAACUGAACAUAUUCAGAGCAGCUUCUAUAAUAGGUUGUGAUGUUUUUUGUGUUGUUUUGAAGCUAAAUAUCGCUUAUAAGAUCUUGUGAUCAUUUUAACAGCUCGAGAUUGAUCAUUAAAUGUGCAUUUUAUGGUUGCAUGUGAAUGUGAUGUCAGCGAUUAUAAUUCUUUCUGCUGUUUACAGCCUCAGUCUGACAGGCAUCCAUCAUCUUUACUACUGCCCUGUAUCCUCUUUCUCCUGAUUUUGUCAUUUUUUCACAAACUCGUGGUUCGGCAGCCGACUGCCUCUCUGCAAAUAUGGAUUAUUAUUCUGCCAGGUAUUAUGCAGUUUUGCUCAGCCAUUGUGGGGGUGGUGGGCAGCGGAUUGUGACCAGAUGACGGCUAAUCUCUCCUUUGUCAGGCUGGAGGGAAGCGAGGAUGUCUGUGAUGUGUGGGCUUCCAGGAUUCUUACGUCACAUCGGAGUCUUUGCUAACACAGAUUUGGUCUAUAACAUGUAAGAAAUGGUACAAACAGGCUGCAACAGAAGUGCAUCCACCCCUGUACAAUAUCAUUUAAAUAUCUAAUAAUUCAAAAUUGCAUCACCUCCAAAAACUGCAUUUAUUAGAUAACAGACACUGUAGAAAACUCAGAUCCCAAAGUAGAAACAUAAUGCAACAAAAGGGAAUCCAGCUGUGAUCAGUGAAACUAAACAACCAGUUUAACUGCAUGAACAUGGAUCAGUUCUGGACCUAUGGAUUGGGUCUCUCUAUGUCUGCAUCAUGGAUCCACAUGGAAAAGAACUAAACAGAGGAAGAGAAAAAUCUGACUGAGAGACUCAACAAAGAUGGAAAAAGAUCCAGGAAGAUCAGUGAGCAACUAAAAACCAGUGAAGCACAGAAUCAGCAGUAAUCAGGAGGUCUAGAAGGAGUCAUAGUACCACUAAUCAGGAGGAUUAGUGGUACUAUGAUCAGGAUUAAACAAAAUGUGUCGACAACGAGGCAGCAACUAUCCCAAAUUACUGAAAAGUUGUCCCAAUAUCUGCCCAAAAUUUGUCAAAACAGGUUAAAGUAUGUCCUUAAUUACAUAAGAUUUGUCCAAGAUGACUCUAAUGUGUCCACGAGUCCAAGGCAAGUUUAAAUUAUCAACAACAAAAAAACAGUCUAGAUCGGACCUGGACAGUAUGAGUCCUGAAGCCAACAGAAGCCUUGUGGUGUUCUCCAGAGAAAGGUAGAGCAACACAAUCCCUCCAGCAAAGAGCAGCUGAAUAAAACAGAGAAGAAUGUGAGAAGAUGUGAGCAGAAAUGAGUGGACUCUGGUUUCCUCCAUGCUGAGGAGGAUUAAAGGAGGACAAACAAAGGACUGGAGGAACCAAAGAACCUCAGGAAUCAAAGGACUUUUGUUGCAUUGACUUCCUGCUGCAGAGAAAUCUCAACUGUUCAGUUUAAAGUUGACAUAAGAGCAGCUCGGAGGUGAUACGAAUCAUUUGACAUUUAGGUAAUGUUGUAUCCUGUAGUUUACCAAAUAAAAGCUUUUAAUAAUCAGUACCUUCUCUUAAGCGUCAGUACAGAAACAGCAGCAUUAAUUCAUCUUUCACACUCAUCUCCUCGAUGGUCUCGAUGGACGAGAUAGAAAACGACAAAAGCAAGACACAAAACAACAAAAAUGAGACACAAAACGACAAAAAGAAGACACAAAACAACAACAACAAGACAAAAUGACAAAAAUGAGACAGAAAAUGACAAAAACAAGAUAGAAAAUGAGAAAAACGAGACAAAACGACAAAAACAAGACAAACUGACAAAAAUCAAAUACAAAACGACAAAAACAAGAUACAAAAUGACAAAAAUGAGACAGUAAAUGACAAAAACAAGACACAAAACGACAAAAAACAAGACAAAAUGACAAAAAUGAGACAGUAAAUGACAUAGACCAAGUCUCAGGUGAAAACAGGUGAAAUGAAAACGGCACAGAAAAUAACAGACGAACAUCCGCUGGAAAGUUCCAGCUGCACUAUAACAGCUGCAGGACUGUAGAGGUUUGGUAAAACAUCAGAUUCUACAUGUUAUUGUUUAUUUGUGGUUCUGAGGCGUCUCCUCACCAAACCUGUGAGCGAUGGACUCUGGGAUGGAGGGAUUUGUGGUCGGCAGCUUGGAGAAUCAUUCCAGGAUGCCAUCAUUAGCAGCAGAUAUCAAUAUAAUCCAUGUGAAAGAGGACCUCCUGUCAAUCCUCUUCAGGCGUCGAGGAAUCAUCCUCUUAAUCACCUCCAGCCAAAGAGAAGCUUCACCUGCAGAUGACGUCGACUCGGCUCUUCCCAUCAUGCACGAGUUUUUACAUUUAUCUGGGUUAUGCGCCGCGGUGCCGAAGCGCAGCUCGGUCUUAAUGGUGCAGUGGGGCUGAACUUGUCAUCUUCCAUUAGAACAGAGCUUUGAGUCCUGAGUGCAUCUUCAGGCCACUCUGCGUGUCUCUGCGUUUGUGUAUCUGUGUGAGAAACCUCAGAACGAAGACACACAAACAAACAGCGGUGACUGUCUGUUGGACAAUCAGGCGAGACACCGCCGACCGAAUUACUGCCUAAUGAGCACCGAGGGUCAGUGUGAAAUUAGGAAUGUGUGUGUGUGUGUGGACUGCAGCCAGAUAAUUAAUAAUUAUCACACAUUGCAACUAAAAUUCACUCUAUCAACUAAUCUUCUGCUAUUUUUCCCUCACAACCCAUCGUUAACACAAAGAUAUUCAGUUUAGCAUCAUGUACGGCAAUGAAAAGCAACACAACAUCAGAUUUUACCUUAAAAAUGACAGAAAAAAAAUGAUAAAAUGAGUGCAGAUUCAUUUUCAGUUGAUCGGCAAAUCCUUGCAGUUAAAGUCUACAAUAUCUAAAAUCUAGAAAAAUACUAAAACAUUUUGUAAAAUAAAUAAUAAAACCCUUCAGUCUAUCCAGCAGCUGAUGAGAUUUUCAGGCCACUUCUGCCAAAAUCUAAUUUCAACUGUUCGUCGAGAGUCAUUCAAUUCAAUUCAGUUCAAUUUUAUUUAUAUAGCGCCAAUUGCAGUCAAACUGUCUCAAGACACUUUACAGAACCCAUAUGCCUGACCCCCAGAGCAGCCCUAAGGAGACAGUGACAAGGAAAACACCCUUUUAACAGGGAAAAAAACCUCGAGCAGAACCCGGCUCUAAUGUGGGGGGACCCAUCUGCCUGCUGGCUGAGCAGGUUGAGAGGGACAGAAGAGGUAGAGAUAGAGGGAUAGAGGUAGAGGGUUACAGUUGGUGGGAGAACAUCCACAGAUCUGAAGCAUCCAGCUCUGGGAUCAGGGACACUCAGAGAAAGGACACAGAAAGAAACAGAGUGAAUGUAAUGCAAUAAUGGUAUAUAUAGUAAAUACAUAGGUAGUUAGAGAAGGGCUCAGUGCAUCAAGAGAGGUUCCCCAGCAGCCUAGGCCUAUAGCAGCAGAACUAGGGGCAGAACUAAGGGUCAUCUCCAUAGAAACAAUCUUGACUUUAGACCGAAAAACAACUAAAACAUUUAAAAAUAGACAACAUAUAUCAUUUAAAAGGCAAAUUUUUUUAAAUUAAAAUGAAUAAUGGGACAAAUAAAAGAUAGGAUAACUAUCAAACCUAAAUUCUUAAACAGGGCAAAAAGAAACAAACAAAACAAACAAAAAAUGGUAUGACUAAUAAAUAAGAACAGUGAUUGGGAAAAAAAAUAACAAAAGUGGAAGAGCAGCAAGAAAAAACAAAAAUAAAAAAAAGAAAUCUGUGUGUUUUGUAAAAUAAAUAAUGAACCCCUUCAGUCUAGCGAGCAACUGAUGAGAUUUUCAGGCCACUUCUGCAAAAAUCUAAUUUCAACUGUUAGUCGAGAGUCAUCCAAAGAAAUGAUCUGAAAUUUAGACCAAAAAACAAUUAAAUAUUUAAAAAUAGACAACAUACAUCAUUAACAUAUAAUGCAGACAUUUAAUCUGUGUUCAGCUACAUCUAAAUAUUAUUGCAUCAGGAGGAGGUUUUAUGAGAAGAAGAAUUAACAGCAAAUUAUAUCGUAUUAAAAUAAAGACCCAUUCAGACAUUUUAUCGGCUGGAACAAGGAAAAUAAAAAUAUAUAAAGUAAAUAUUGUCAUUCCGGUUUUAAGGACACGCUCUGAAAUUCAUGUAUCUGGUGGAUUUUAAAUAAUUUACGAAGCGAGAAAUAAUUUACAUCCUGGCAACAUGUUCUCAGACAGAGAGGGGGUUUAAGUCAGGAGGAAAAUCUGAUUUAAAAAAACAUUGAGUUCAUGCCACUGAAGAGAACGCUUCCUCUUAGAUGUUGUUCAGAAAGGUGUAAAAAAAGAAACAAUGGUGUAACACUGAUGCUAAAUCCUGUUUGAUUAUAGAAAAGCGCAUUGAUCUCCAAGCUCAUUUUUGUAUGUGAAAUAUUUAUGGAAAUGUUAUGUUUCUUUAAAAUUUGUUUAUUGGUCAUUUCAUUUGUUACUCAUAUUUAUUUUAAUCUUAAUUUUUUUUUGGACAUUUCUGAAAUAAAUCAAUGUUAUUUAUCACUGAAGUAAAAUCGAAUAAAUGAUUCCAAGCAUAGAUUUAACUCUGAAAUUUUAGCUGAAGGUCAUUUAUGGUCACAAAGCUAAUUUUAAAAAAAAAACCAAUUUAACCAAAAUAGGUCACUCAAACAAAACAAAUAAAAAAAGUAAAAAACCAAAAUGUAAUAACAUGAUUCGUUAAAAGAAAAAAACAGCAUUAAAAAAAUAAAAACAGAGUGACACAACGAAAAACGUGAUAGUAGAAACUACAAAAAAAGAUGAAAAAACACUAAAAAAAAAAGACAUAGCUGAAAAUGGGACAAAUAAACACAGCAUGAAAAAUCAAACAGGGUGAAACAAAACAAUAAAAAAGUAAAAACUAAUUAAAAAAAUAAGAGUGGAAUGUAAAAAAAAAAUUAGAAUAACGCUUAAAAAAACAACUAAACAGAGUGAUUUGAAAAAAUUAACAAAAGUGGAAGAACAGGAAGAAAAAAAUAGAAAUCUAAGAAAGUGCUCAAUACAAGAUAAACAUAUUAGAAACAAUUCAUCGGUCACAUUGGUGUCAGAAUUCAAGAUCUAAAUAUCAACGACUCUUAUGUUCUGUUAGAGAACACGGAGCUUUUAUUGAACAAUAUUAUCAAACCUGCACUCAUUUAUGUAACGCAGAAGCAAAUGGAUGCUCACUAUGGUGUCAUCUUGAAAUAUUUGUCUGUUCCUAAACAAAGAAAACACACACACACACACACACACACACACACACACACACACACACACACACACACACACA